rnacentral:rRNA from 1 species
UACAGAGGGUGCGAGCGUUAAUCGGAAUUACUGGGCGUAAAGCGCACGUAGGUGGUUGUGUAAGUCGAGUGUGAAAGCCCCGGGCUCAACCUGGGAACUGCAUUCGAGACUGCAUUACUCGAGUAUGGGAGAGGGCAGUGGAAUUUCCGGUGUAGCGGUGAAAUGCGUAGAUAUCGGAAGGAACAUCAGUGGCGAAAGCGGCUUCCUGGACCAGUACCGACGUUCAGGCACGAAAGCGUGGGGAGCAAACAGG